rnacentral:rRNA from 1 species
UACGAAGGGGACUAGCGUUGUUCGGAAUCACUGGGCGUAAAGCGCACGUAGGCGGAUUCGUAAGUCAGGGGUGAAAUCCCGGGGCUCAACCUCGGAACUGCCUUUGAUACUGCGGGUCUUGAGUCCGAUAGAGGUGGGUGGAAUUCCUAGUGUAGAGGUGAAAUUCGUAGAUAUUAGGAAGAACACCGGUGGCGAAGGCGGCCCACUGGAUCGGUACCGACGCUGAGGUGCGAAAGCGUGGGGAGCAAACAGG